CACAGGCCACUCACCAUGGACUUAGGGCUCAUAAUGGUUUUCUCUGUCCUGAUUUUAAAAGGUGUUCAGUGUGAUGUGCAGUUGCUGGAGUCUGGGGGAGGCUUAGUGCAGCCUGGAAAGUCCCUGAAACUCUCCUGUGCAGCCUAUGGAUUCUCCUUCAGUAGUUAUGACAUGAGCUGGGACCGCCAGGCUCCCGGGAAGGGGCUGGAGUGGGUAGCAUCCAUUAGCAGUAGUGGUGGUAGUGGUGGUACCACCAGGUAUACUGACGCUGUGAACGGCCGGUUCACAAUCUCCAGAGACAAUGCCAAGAACACUCUGUACCUGGAAAUGAGCAGUCUGAGGUCAGAGGACACAGCCAUGUAUUACUGUACAACAGACACAGUGAGUGAAUGCUACUGUGAGCUCAGACAAAAACACUGCUGUGGGGAACAGGACCAGCAGGGGGCACUGAGAUCCCUUAGAAAUCAGAGUCAGAGAGCCUGCUUAGAGAAAAAUGGAAGACUGGAUUUCUCUGUUUCUGCACUGCCUCUCCGUAUUGUAGGGAUUUUCUCCACAGGAAUAGAGUGUAGUAAUUCUUGA